AUCAAGGGUGUAGUACUAUUUGUAGUAGCGGUCCUUAUAUAUCGUAUUAACAAUCGAAAGAUGGUCGAAAGAAA
rnacentral:tRNA from 1 species